rnacentral:rRNA from 1 species
UGUCCUACGGGGGGCAGCAGUGGGGAAUAUUGGGCAAUGGAGGCAACUCUUACCCAGCAAUGCCGCGUGAACGAAGAAGGUCUUCGGAUUGUAAAUUUCUUUAAUUGGGGACGAAAAAAAUGACGGUACCCAAGGAAUAAGCCACGGCUAACUACGUGCCAGCAGCCGCGGUAAUACGUAGGUGGCAAGCGUUAUCCGGAUUUAUUGGGUGUAAAGGGCGUGUAGGCGGGAAUGCAAGUCAGAUGUGAAAACUAUGGGCUCAACCCAUAGCCUGCAUUUGAAACUGUAUUUCUUGAGUGCUGGAG